UACGUAGGGGGCGAGCGUUGUCCGGAUUUAUUGGGCGUAAAGAGCUCGUAGGCGGUUUGGCAAGUCGGGUGUGAAAACUCCGGGCUCAACUCGGAGACGCCACUCGAUACUGCUAUGACUCGAGUCCGGUAGGGGAGUACGGAAUUCCUGGUGUAGCGGUGAAAUGCGCAGAUAUCAGGAGGAACACCGGUGGCGAAGGCGGCACUCUGGGCCGGAACUGACGCUGAGGAGCGAAAGCGUGGGGAGCGAACAGG
rnacentral:rRNA from 1 species